GAUGAACGCUGGCGGCGUGCCUAAUACAUGCAAGUCGAGCGAACGGACGAGAAUCUUGCUUCUCUGAUGUUAGCGGCGGACGGGUGAGUAACACGUGGAUAACCGACCUAUAAGACUGGGAUAACUUCGGGAAACCUGAUCUAAUACCGGAUGAUAUUUUGAACCGCAUGGUUCAAAAGUGAAAGACGUUCUUGCUGUCACUUAUAGAUGUAUCCUGGCUGCAUUAGCUAGUUGGUAAGGUAACGGCUUACCAAGGCGACGAUGCAUAGCCGACCUGAGAGGAUGAUCAGCCACACUGGAACUGAGACACGGUCCAGACUCCUACGGGAGGCAGCAGUAGGGAAUAUUCCGCAAUGGGCGAAAGCCUGACGGAGCAACGCCGCGUGAGUGAUGAAGGUCUUCGGAUCGUAAAACUCUGUUAUUAGGGAAGAACAUAAGUGAGAGUAACUGUGCACAUCUUGACGGUACCUACAGAGAAAGCCACGGCUAACUACGUG
rnacentral:rRNA from 1 species